CUUGAGUAUCUAGCCGCUGAGGUGUUGGAGUUGGCUGGGAAUGCAGCACGAGACAACAAGAAGAAUAGAAUUAACCCUAGGCAUGUGCUUUUAGCAGUGAGGAACGAUGAAGAGUUAGGGAAAUUGCUUCAAGGAGUGACCAUUGCUAGUGGUGGGGUGCUACCCAACAUCAACCCAGUUCUUUUGCCCAAGAAAUCUGCGGCUACUGAUAAACCUUCAGCGUCAAAAUCCCCCAAGUCCGCCAAAAGCGCUUAAAGAUGAAUCCUACUAGUUAUGUAUUAGUUCCAAUAAUGGAAUGCAGGAUCUAGGAGUUAGUCUUAGUCUUUUUCCCCUUCUUUUUUGUUUUCCUUGUGAAUUUAACUAUCUUUGUAGGCGAUGACAAAGUUUAUAAAGGAAGUUUCCUUGUUUCCUUCAUUCUCUUUCGGCUAACUCGAAUGAACAAAAAUUAACUUUGCUGGAGAAUUAACUUGAAUGAAGGCUAGAUAGAUGGUAGUUUUCUCUGCUGUGUUUUACCACUUUAGGCCACUGUUGCAUGAAUUUUAUUACUGGUAUAAAAAUCGCAUUUCCUGAAAGAAAAUGAAUUCCGAAGUGAAGACUGUUCUUAUGAACAAGAUCCAUCAAGUUUUGAAGCCUCUAUUGGGUCAAGCAAAUAUGAAGGGAAAAUGGGUUGGGGCCGUGGGCUGUGAACUGUGCGCAGGUUCUUCGAAAUUUCAAUUACUAGUUAUAGAAAUGGCGGGCAGGAGGUUUCACUAGGGUUUUGAGUCGAUAUAUAGUGGAAGCGAGGGACAUGAACCCAUUUUUGAGAAAGGCUUCAAUCUCUUGUGGCCGACGAUCCCUCAUUCGGGCACUAGCUGUCGCUGCUUCCGACUAAUUAGGCCACUUUUGACGCAUCUCUUUUGGCUGGUUUGGUGUUGCACGCAUGUUAAAUUGCAUUAAUGAAAAUGAGGUGAGAAUCUAAAAGUGGGAUCUCACCCUUUCCACGUUUUAUAAUUUUAAUAUUAUUCCACGUACCUCCAGGGUAUCCUGCAAAUCGUGCUGGAUUCCAUUCUGGUGACGUCGUUGAAUUUCGACAUGAAACCUGUUAAUU
rnacentral:misc_RNA from 1 species